GCAUGGGAAAAAGAGGAGCAUUCUCCAAGACUUCUCCAACAUUGAUUUUCCCAUUAUUGUAAACAUGGAUGAUAUCAAUGCAUUAUACACCGCAAUUUCUUUGAACGUUUUCAAUUUCUGCAUUCAUUUCUUAGAUUUAUUGAUAUUGAUUAUUUUCUUUGACAUUGAUUGUUGGUCAAUCUUUAAAGGGAUCUGAAUCAUCGACAAGCAAGAAAUUAAAUAGAUGAUUUUGGUCGCGUUCUUAUUACAUGAUUGAUUAUUUUGGAUUUUGAUUACAUACAAUCAUAAAUCAAUCGAAUCACAAUAUGGGAUGGGUUGAAUCUCCGAGGUGAACGACUCAUCCAAACCCAGUAACACCCGAUUCGAACCAACCACCCGAGUGUUAAUAAAAAUAAAAAUGACAGUAUAGUAAUUUAGUGUUGAGGGGUAUUUAAGACCCAAACAACUAACUUUUCCCCCAUUCUCCAUAACCAUUUUCUGAAAACUAAAUCAAACUCUCUCACCUCUCUCUUUUGUUCCACCACCAUCACCCCAAACCCAUAUCACAUUCCAUAUAACUCAGCAUCAAUCUUGCAUGCAAUUGAAGAAAUAGAUUCAUAAUAACAGCUAGCGUUAAGUGCCUUUGUUGGUUAGGAGGAAAAAAAAAAAGCAACCCUAAUUUGUCGGCGCAUUCACUCAUCAAUUUGACUGCCGGUAAGCAUGCAUUAGACACAAAAACAUCUCAAUUCAAACUCAAAAAGCGCUGAAUGUUUUUAACCGAACUGUUCCCCAUAAGGCUUCUCGAGCUACUUAUUUGAAUAACCUAGGCAACUAGAAUCGAAUCAACAUUCAAAUUUAUUGCAUUAUACCCCUUCCUCUACCUCUUCCUCUCCCGCAACCAUUAGUUCCCGAUGCAUUGCUUGCAGGUAGAGCCAAUACUACUUUUAUUCUUUCGACAUUUGAAUCAUUUGCAUUUUGAUUGCAGAUGCUAAAAUUGUCUAGGUUAUUCAAUAAAUUUGAAUGGUGAUUUGAUUGUAGUUGCCUAGGUUACUCAAAUAAGUAGGCCGAGAAGCCUUUAUGGGGCACAAUUUGGUUAAAAACAUUCAACACUUAUUGAGUUUGAAUUGGGAUGUUUCUGUGUCUCAUGCAUGCUUACCGACAGUCAAAUUGAUGAGUGAAUGCGCUGGCAAAUUAGUGUUGCUUUUUUUUUUCCUCCUAACCAACAAAGGCACUUAACGCUAGCUGUUGUUAUGAAUCUAUUUCUUCAAUUGCAUGCAAGAUUGAUGCUGAGUUAUAUGGAAGGUGAUAUGGGUUUGGGGUGAUGGUGGUGGAACAAAAGAGAGAGGUGAGAGAGUUUGAUUUAGUUUUCAGGAAAUGGUUAUGGAGAAUGGGGGAAAAGUUAGUUGUUUGUGUCUUAAAUACCCCCUCAACACUAAAUUACUAUACUGCCAUUUUUAUUUGCAUUCCUUGUUUAUUAACACUAGAGUCACUAGUUGGAAUCAGGUGUUACUGGAUUUGGAUGACUGACUGAACUCGUGAAAUAAAAAAAAAAUGAUCAAAUGAGAAAGAUGGUCCAUAAAGAAGAAAUUAUAAGAAUAACAUAGGGCAAAAUACAAAUAUAAGACAUCCACCGUAAUGAUUUAUAAGCCAGAAAACUUCAAAAUCAAAUAAGUCAUAAAGGCUAGAUCAAUAUUGGAACAAAUCUUAAAAUUUGUAAAUUAAUCGACAAAACAACCAAUGAAGCCGUAAAUAAUUUUGUUAUUAAGGCCAUUCAGUUCAAUAUAAAUACACUAGCCUACCAAUACCUUUUCCAAUUGUCUUAGGGUUUGCAAUUUCACACCAAUUUCAACUUUUAGCGAAUAGCUCACUGCUAGAAACAUGAACCUAGUCGGAGAAGAUAGAGUAGACUACUUGAGUCUAAACGUGUUGUCUGAUGACUCACUCUUCUAGUACGUAUUUUUCCAUUCUUGUUACAUACAAUAUCAAUUCUGGAUAUAUAUCUUUCUUAGAGUAAGUAUAUAUUGAGAAAUUUUUUUUGAAGAUUAGACAUCUCAUAAUACUUUGUACUGUCUUAUUCAUGAACAUAUCUAGGAAAAAUUUGAGUGUGUGUGUGAUGCACCAUAAUUUAAGACAAAUGUGACACUUGACACAUAAAUUAAAUUAGACGUCAUCACAAUUCAAUCCAGGUGAGAUGAACCUUCAAAUCACCUAUUCAUGAAACAAAUUUUAGCUUCUUCCAAAUAACACAAAUACAAGCCACUCAAAUCACCGGAAGCAAAUUCUAACUUCUUUUUUAAACAAAAUAAUUUUUAGAGAAUCUAAAUCAAACGGGACUAAAAAUGUUUUGAAUUUACAAUGUUAAAUUAAUUACAUAAGGUUUGAGGGAGGAUUAGUCUAUGUAGUUGUGCGCAGAGAUAUCCGAUUUAUGCAGAAAAAUAAAAUAAAAGUGUAUUGAAUAUUUUUUAAAUUGAAAAGAAUUUCUUUUUUUAUAAGAAAAUAACUAUUAAAAUCCACAUUUGUAUUUGUCACCGACAACAACAACAACAACAAAAAAGGAAGGGAGCGGAUGUAUUUUAAAUCCACAUAUGUGUCAAUUUUGUGUCUUAAAUUUGUUUUUGAAUAACAUACAUCUUUUAUUUCUUUUUUUAGUAUGCUUAAUAAAUGCCCCAGAGACACCGUUAGCAUCACCCUUUCUUUUUUACCCUUAAAAGAUUGAACCAAACACACAAAAUUUAAAAUAUUACCUUUCCUUCCCCCCAAAACCCCCAAACCAAAUAUACCCUAUAAAGUUGUACAUAUAACUAAGGCUUAAUUACUUAAUUGGUCCCUUAAAGACAUUUAUGGUUUCAAAUUGGUCCCUUAAAGAAAAAAAGGGCCAAAUUGGUGUUCCACUUUUCACCGACCGAGCUUCUUUCCCCUUUUCUGUGUUCCACUUUUCGCCGGAAUCUGCCAUGGCAACCAUUUUUCGCCGCCGGUGAUAGACCAGCCACCAUACUUGAUGACGGUAAAAUCCAUACUACUUUAAAAUUUUAAUUAAAAGGAACCAUUUCACGAAGCAUCAAUGCAAGCUAGUGGACUUCAAUUUAAACAAAGGUAAUAUUGUUGCUACUUUAAAAUUUUAAUUAAAAGGAACCGCUUGAGGAAGCAUCAAUGCAAGCUAGUGGACUUCAUUUUAACAAAGGCUGAGGUCUUAAAUUGUGGAUUCGUGUUGACACAUCUGGAAAUUCAUAGGUCAUUGAAUUUGGAACGCGAUCGUUCGUAGAAAAGCAGACUUGUUGCCCUUACUAGGAGGGUUCAGAAGGUUAGAGUCGAAAUAAAGCAACUUAUGGAUGAUGACGGUGAUAUGGCUGAAAUGUACCUUACGGAGAAGAAAAGACGGAUAUAACUGUCAUUUGAUGGAGAUCAGUUUAUGCUUGGAUAUAGAUCAGUCACUCCUGUUUCAACACCACCUGAUUUUAGAAGGCUUGAUAAGAGCUUGAGCAUUGCUAGGAGUGUACACAAGAGGAUGAGAAGUAGCGAACGUAAUGCAGAAAAUAUAGAAGAGCUUGAGAUGUU